rnacentral:rRNA from 1 species
UACGUAGGGCGCAAGCGUUGUCCGGAAUUAUUGGGCGUAAAGAGCUCGUAGGCGGCCUGUCGCGUCUGCUGUGAAAUCCCGGGGCUUAACCCCGGGCGUGCAGUGGAUACGGGCAGGCUGGAGGCAGGCGAGGGGAGAACGGAAUUCCCGGUGUAGCGGUGAAAUGCGCAGAUAUCGGGAGGAACACCGGUGGCGAAGGCGGUUCUCUGGGCCUGUUCUGACGCUGAGGAGCGAAAGCGUGGGGAGCAAACAGG